CUUCAGAAAACAAAGUAAAAAAAGCAUCCAGUGCGAGCCGUGGUUUUCGCGGACGACUGAGGCGAGACGAGAUAAAAAGAAGCUUGUUCUUCUUGUCAAAAAUCAGUCAGGAAUAAUAAGAGAGAGAAACAGAAGAACAAGAAGAAAGGACUCAUCCGCCCUCACGGCCUCACGGAUGUUGCCUGCUGCCGCUGCCGCUGUCGCUCGGGGUCGCGGAUUCGUCGUCGCUAGUGCUCGAGGUCGAAGAGCUCCUCAAGGCUGCGCUGGGCGCCGCCGUGACCCAGCUUCACGCAUCUUGCAGUCUGCUGCCACUCUUGGUUGAGGUUGCCGUCGCCGAAGGGACGAUGACAACUGCGAUGUGCUGUUUUUUUUCUUUCCCGGUCAAGUAGAUAAGGUGCGCCUCUGGGGAAGAACGGGUGGAUCGAAGCAUCCCAACUCCUCUUUUGGACCUGGGUAUUGGGCCGUAGAAGUCUCUCAAACGAAUGAAUAGUAUAAAAAAUGAAUUAGUCCUAAAAUGAAUUAUUUCUAGUUUAAAAUGAAUGAGAUUUCUU
rnacentral:lncRNA from 1 species